rnacentral:rRNA from 1 species
ACGGCUCAGUAACACGUGGAUAACCUGCCCUUGGGUCCGGCAUAACCCCGGGAAACUGGGGAUAAUACCGGAUAACGCAUAUAUGCUGGAAUUCUUUAUGCGUGAAACGGAUUCGUCUGCCCAAGGAUGGGUCUGCGGCCUAUCAGGUAGUAGUGGGUGUAAUGUACCUACUAGCCGACGACGGGUACGGGUUGUGAGAGCAAGAGCCCGGAGAUGGAUUCUGAGACAUGAAUCCAGGCCCUACGGGGCGCAGCAGGCGCGAAAACUUUACAAUGCGGGAAACCGUGAUAAGGGGACACCGAGUGCCAGCAUCAUAUGCUGGCUGUCCGGGUGUGUAAAAUACACCUGUUAGCAAGGGCCGAGCAAGACCGGUGCCAGCCGCCGCGGUAACACCGGCGGCCCGAGUGGUGAUCGUGAUUAUUGGGUCUAAAGGGUCCGUAGCCGGUUUGGUCAGUCCUCCGAGAAAUCUGACGGCUUAACCGUUAGGCUUUCGGGGGAUACUGCCAGACUUGGAACCGGGAGAGGUAAGAGGUACUACAGGGGUAGGAGUGAAAUCUUGUAAUCCCUGUGGGACCACCUGUGGCGAAGGCGUCUUACCAGAACGGGUUCGACGGUGAGGGACGAAAGCUGGGGGCACGAACCGGAUUAGAUACCCGGGUAGUCCCAGCCGUAAACGAUGCUCGCUAGGUGUCAGGCAUGGCGCGACCGUGUCUGGUGCCGCAGGGAAGCCGUGAAGCGAGCCACCUGGGAAGUACGGCCGCAAGGCUGAAACUUAAAGGAAUUGGCGGGGGAGCAC